UAUGAUGAUUGUGGUUGAUCAGCACCAAAGGGAAUCAUUGUACACGCACUGAGGUUCAGCAUUUAUGUGGUUUCAACUAUAUCGACACACUUUCUGGGAGUUUAGAGAAAGAGAUAGGAAGUGGGAGAGGAACACAAUGAAUGUUUUGAUAAUUAAAUGAUACCGAAUAUUUCUUCACAUUCAUAAUAUAUAAAUCUGUAGUGUCGUUUUCUUCACCCACCCUCUCUCCUCCUUUUUGUUAUUUUAAUGAUUAGAAUUAGAAUUAUUACUAAUAAUCAACAAUUCAUUAUUGUCUCAUAGACAUGAUGUUGAAGACAAUGCUAUUCCCGUGUUGAUUUGUUCUUACCUU